CUCCACAGCUAAAAUUUUGACAAUUGAAUUCUUUCGGUUUGGUCGGCAAAAUCUCUCAUACUAAGCUAUGAUCUGAGAUUCUCAAUAGAGUAAACUGAUAUGAAAUUGCACAAAGCUACAGCCACAAAAUCUAUCAAGAACUUUUAUACACCUAAAAAUAUUACACACAUUUCAACAAAAAAUUCAAAAUAGAAAAUACCCAAAUGGACUGGAUUGGACUGCCAUUGUUUUCACCUUCUCUGCCUUUCUCUCUCCCCUCAAAUCAAAUUAUAGCCCUUCAUUUCCAUCCAGGGUUGAGUCCAACCGUCCAUAAUCUUGCAGAGCCUUCAACAGCUGGGCCCCUUUCCUCCUCGCUCUUGCAGUGCAAUCCCCUUGUAACGCUAAUACCACCGCACGCGCCACCUCGUCCGGAGGUGCGUGCUGCACCUGUUCAUGCGCUGCACCACCACCGUAAAUCACAGAAAGCGCGCUUAUGGCAUAUUCUUUCCCCCUUCCCUCCAUUUCCCCCAUCUUAGCAACCAUGACAGGCAUGGCCAGCGCGUGGGCCCUCAGUUCCGCCGCCCCUUCCUCCACAGUACACGCUAGCUCCAACGCCGCUAAUGCACGCUCCGCUGUAGGCCCUUCCAGCUCCAUCGCAACUUCGACCACAGAGCCUACAGUCCCAGCUUUUACCGCCACGUGGCGGUUUUCUUCCGCCAAACAAAGAGCUAACAAAAUUUUCGUUGCCAGUUUCGCACCCGCCUUGUUUUUCAAAUUUACCACCACCCCGCGCAUAACUUCGAGCGGGCAAACCGGCUCAGUUGGCGGGUUGGGAACUAGUGAGCGUUCUAAUAGGUGAAGAG
rnacentral:misc_RNA from 1 species